AGUCAAUAGAUACCCGGGUAGUCCACGCCGUAAACGAUGAAUACUAGGUGUAGGAGGUAUCGACUCCUUCUGUGCCGCAGUUAAACACAAUAAGUAUUCCGCCUGGGGAGUACGGUCGCAAGAUUAAAACUCAAAGGAAUUGACGGGGGCCCGCACAAGCAGCGGAGCAUGUGGUUUAAUUCGAAGCAACGCGAAGAACCUCACCCAGACUUGACAUCUCCUGAAUUAAUCGUAAUUGAUGAAAUCCCUUCGGGGACAGGAAGACAGGUGGCGCAUGGUUGUCGUCAGCUCGUGUCGUGAGAUGUUGGGUUAAGUCCCGCAACGAGCGCAACCCUUAUCAUUAGUUGCUAACAUUCAGUUGAGCACUCUAGUGAGACUGCCCGGGUUAACCGGGAGGAAGGUGGGGAUGACGUCAAAUCAUCAUGCCCCUUAUGUCUGGGGCUACACACGUGCUACAAUGGUGGGAACAAAGAGAUGCAAGACCGCGAGGUGGAGCCAAACUCAAAAACCCAUCCCAGUUCGGAUUGUAGGCUGAAACUC
rnacentral:rRNA from 1 species